GAUGAACGCUGGCGGCGUGCCUAAUACAUGCAAGUCGAGCGAACGGACGAGAAGCUUGCUUCUCUGAUGUUAGCGGCGGACGGGUGAGUAACACGUGGAUAACCUACCUAUAAGACUGGGAUAACUUCGGGAAACCGGAGCUAAUACCGGAUAAUAUUUUGAACCGCAUGGUUCAAAAGUAAAAGACGGUCUUGCUGUCACUUAUAGAUGGAUCCGCGCUGCAUUAGCUAGUUGGUAAGGUAACGGCUUACCAAGGCAACGAUGCAUAGCCGACCUGAGAGGGUGAUCGGCCACACUGGAACUGAGACACGGUCCAGACUCCUACGGGAGGCAGCAGUAGGGAAUCUUCCGCAAUGGGCGAAAGCCUGACGGAGCAACGCCGCGUGAGUGAUGAAGGUCUUCGGAUCGUAAAACUCUGUUAUUAGGGAAGAGCAUAUGUGUAAGUAACUGUGCACAUCUUGACGGUACCUAAUCAGAAAGCCACGGCUAACUACGUG
rnacentral:rRNA from 1 species